rnacentral:rRNA from 1 species
AUGCUCAUUGUUUUGACUGUAAUACUAAUGGGAGCUAAAGUGGAAGGUGAGAGUUACAAUCCUGGAUACUAUGCUACAGGGGAUCUGCACAUGGACUCAAAUGGUUGGCGCUCUCCAUACUAUGAGGAUAGAACAUCAAAUGGACAGUUGUACAAUGGCUUCAUGACAAAGCAGGCAGAUGGUUAUUCAGAAUACGACAACGAAACGCUAAAGCGCACAAUGCUUUCACAUGAAGCUAUGUUUAGACAGCAGGUUUAUGAACUGCACCGGGUUUACAAAAUACAGAGAGAUCUGAUGAAGCAUUAUGAAAACAAAGAUGCAUAUGCAUACCCAGAACUGGCAGAUGCAUCACAGACAAAUUCGUCAUCACAAGUUCAACCAAAUGGCUCAAAGAUGAUAUGGCAGAUGCCUCUGGUGGCCAAAACAUACGGAGAGGCUACUGUUGCAGUGCACACUGAUACAAACCACUCCUUGAAGUUCCUUAGUGAUGGCAGUGUCCUGCCCUCUCCAAAUGGAUUCCCCUCGAAUGGUGUUGCUUUAAAUACCAAGCAAGGCAUUAUUGACCUUGAGCUUCCAGCUGAUCAUUAUAUAGAUGAUGACAACACAUCAGAUAAUAAGCCUAUAGAUUUCCUUGGUGUAGAUUCGGGUACAAAACCUCCGAAUGGUGCAGAAGGCUUGGGGAGGUUCAAUGAUAAUAGCUCAACCUCUGGUUUGCUGACUACCAAUAAACCAGGAGGCUGCCAUGUCGCUGACCUGAAUGAGCCAAUUACUGGGAUGCAUAUGGGUGGAACAAACGGGUCAGUAUCCAGAGGUCUCCCGUAUACCUUGGAGAACUCUUGGCGCCAAUCUGCAGUGAGAUCAAGCACAGCUAACUUUGGUUUCAAUAAAGAAUACUCCAAAGAGAAGCAUACUGACGAAGGAACAAGCUCAAAUUUCCUUGAUGCAAGUGCCAAACUAAGACAGGACGAGAAACCAUUGAUUGAUAAAGGAAAACAAGUCAGCAACCAAUCUUUUUUUACACCCAGAUACAGCAAUGCUGAUCUGCAAAAAUCCUUCAAAGUUGCUGAUGGGAGAUCUGCAACCAAUGAGAUUAUUUACCAUGGUCAAAACAGUUCAGUUGGAUGGUUUUCAAAAGGUCCUAUGGGAGCAUCUCCCAUCAAUAAUUUUGCUAGACCUGACCAUCCACAUCAUUCAAGUAUUGGUACACUUGUUGCUCCAAUCUCCAUUCCUCACAUAGACCAUCCUUCCGUCGCCUCUCCUAUAGGUUCUUGCACAGUGGACCCAAGGAGCAGUGUUAUCAACAAUGCUUUCCAGCGAGUUCCAAGUUUCAAUGGAUCUUCAACUGUUAAUUCAUACAAGAGUCCUAGUGCUGUGACCCAAAGCAUUGGACCUUCGAUUCAUAAGCUGAAAAGAUUUGAUAAUUUGGAUGGUAGUUACUUUGGCUUUCCACCUGAUCCAUUUUCCGCAUCACGAUCCAGACAACAGGUUGCAAUUUCGAGCGAGUUGGAGCAAAGGAACUGCCUGAUGUUUGAACAUUCAGCAGCACGGCAGUCUCAUGGGUAUCCUCAGUCCACAAACGGCAAGGGCAUAAAGAACUUUAAUUUGAAUGAAGCACUGUCAGAUGGUCUGGAAGAGCUUGUAGAACGGGAUCGGAGAUCUGUUGGUAGUUUGCAGCAUAGUAAAGGCGAGGGAUCAGUAUUUGGGAUCUCUUGGCUAAAAAAUAAAGCUACUUGUGCUGACCCAACAGGGCUGGAAAAGCAAAGAAAGAUGCUUGGCCAUUCCAACGGGACUGCAGCAGACACGAAAAUCAACAAUAACUUGACAGGAAUAACACCGAUUGUUUGCAAUUUGUCAGAUUCUGCCUCGACGUCCCUAGGUUGCAGAAUUAAGAUAGAUGAUGCUUCUGAAGGCAUCACUGAUAGAACUUGGCUGGUAUGUAAUAAGACUGAGGAGAGUACUACGAGACAUUUACCACUUUCAAGCCAGAAACCCUUGGAUAGAGAUGGACAAGCUGCUGAAGGUGUUGUCAAGAAAAGUGGCGCCGCUGUAGUCAGAAAUUUGUUUGAUCUGAAUGAUGAUGUACCACAUGAAGAUAACUCAGAGUCAUCAGUAGUGUCACAUGAAUGUGAUGUGGUGGCCUUACAGAACAACCAUGCUAAGCGCACAUUUUUGUUUGACUUAGAAGAAGUGCCAGCUUGUGAAGAUGGUGCUGCCUGGACUUCUCAACAGGAAUGCACACCUUCUGGCAAGCUUGGUGCAUCCAAGGAAGCUGAUAUGUGUUUUCCAUCCGCUACAGAUGCAGCGCAGAUUAUUCUUGCGUUGUCAACGGAUGUGCCGACCACCACAGGCACACCCGAUGGUAUGUUGCAGUGGUUUGCAGAGCUCGCGAUAUCAAGCAUGGAUGACCAUGCCGAGCAAGCAAAAGUCCAGGGUUGCAUCGAUAAUUCCAGUGAUGAUGGUUCAGACUCAUUUGAAGCCUUGACACUGAAGCUGGAAGAGUGCAAGACCGAUGAGCGCUGGACCAGGACACCAGAACCACCACUGACAGACGAUGACCAAGCUGUUUCAGCGGUGAACCUGCUGUCCAAGCCAAAAAGAGGACCGCAAAGGAAGCGACGGCAGAAGCGAGACUUCCAGAAGGACAUCUUGCCCGGGCUUUCAUCGCUUUCCCGGCCUAAGAUCAUAGAGGACAUUCAGCUAAUUGAGGGGUUAGUACAGGCAUCUGGUGGAUCAUGGGAGUCGAGUUUAACCAGGCGAGCGCGCGGUGGGCGAACAAGAGGUAGAAAGCCCCGCAAAGACCAGCCAGCUACCGUAGAGAUAGAAGCCGAGGCGAGCCCACCACCCUCAAAACCCGACUCUGUUGGCUUAGAAGCUGAUGAAAGGGGCAUGGUUAGCUGGGGGCGAACAACAAGGCGGUGUCGCAAGCCACGAUGCCCAUCGGGCAAUAGCAUCGCAGCUUCGUCCUGA